AAUUUCCACACACUUGUGAAUCGUUGGAGCAUGGAAGGAGAGACUCUCUCGAGUCUCUGUGAAAAUGCUCUGGCACCCAUUUAUUAUUACAAACUCUGAGUUAAUGGAUGUAGUUGUAAACUUGUCUUUUGACAGAAACAAAAAUACAACUUUCAACAACGGAUCUCUUGGUUCUCCCAUCGAUGAAGAACGCAGCGAAACGCGAUAGUUAAUGUGAAUUGCAGAAUUCAGUGAAUCAUCGAGUCUUUGAACGCAUCUUGCGCUCCUUGGUAUUCCGAGGAGCAUGCCUGUUUGAGUGUCAUGAAUCCCUCAGCCCCCAAUGCUUUUCGUUAAGUGUUGGCUUGGGUCUGGAUUUGGGCGAUUGCCAGAGAGCUUUUUCAAGUUCCUGGCUCGCCUCAAAGAGAUUAGCUGGACCCCAUUCCGAGCUGGUUCAACUCGACGUGAUAAUUUCAUUCGUCGAGG
rnacentral:rRNA from 1 species